rnacentral:rRNA from 1 species
CCUACGGGCGGAGCAGUGGGGAAUAUUGGACAAUGGGCGAAAGCCUGAUCCAGCCAUGCCGCGUGUGUGAAGAAGGCCUUCGGGUUGUAAAGCACUUUCAGUGGGGAAGAAAGCCUUGGGGCUAAUACCCUCGAGGAAGGACAUCACCCACAGAAGAAGCACCGGCUAACUCCGUGCCAGCAGCCGCGGUAAUACGGAGGGUGCGAGCGUUAAUCGGAAUUACUGGGCGUAAAGCGCGCGUAGGCGGUCUGAUAAGCCGGUUGUGAAAGCCCCGGGCUCAACCUGGGAACGGCAUCCGGAACUGUCAGGCUAGAGUGCAGGAGAGGAAGGUAGAAUUCCCGGUGUAGCGGUGAAAUGCGUAGAGAUCGGGAGGAAUACCAGUGGCGAAGGCGGCCUUCUGGACUGACACUGACGCUGAGGUGCGAAAGCGUGGGUAGCAAACAGGAUUAGAUACCCCUGUAGUC